GGGAUAAGCCCGGGAAACUGGGUCUAAUACUGGAUGCUACAUGUCACCGCAUGGUGGUGUGUGGAAAGGGGUUUACUGGUCUUGGAUGGGCUCACGGCCUAUCAGCUUGUUGGUGAGGUAAUGGCUCACCAAGGCGACGACGGGUAGCCGGCCUGAGAGGGUGACCGGCCACACUGGGACUGAGACACGGCCCAGACUCCUACGGGAGGCAGCAGUGGGGAAUAUUGCACAAUGGGCGAAAGCCUGAUGCAGCGACGCCGCGUGAGGGAUGACGGCCUUCGGGGUUGUAAACCUCUUUUCAGCAGGGAAGAAGCCACAAGUGACGGUACCUGCAGAAGAAGCGCCGGCUAACUACGUGCCAGCAGCCGCGGUAAUACGUAGGGCGCAAGCGUUGUCCGGAAUUAUUGGGCGUAAAGAGCUCGUAGGCGGUUUGUCGCGUCUGCUGUGAAAGCCCGGGGCUUAACCCCGGGUGGGCAGUGGGGUACGGGCAGACUAGAGUGCAGUAGGGGAGACUGGAAUUCCUGGUGUAGCGGUGGAAUGCGCAGAUAUCAGGAGGAACACCGAUGGGCGAAGGCAGGUCUCUGGGCUGUUACUGACGCUGAGGAGCGAAAGCAUGGGGAGCGAACAGGAUUAGAUACCCUGGUAGUCCAUGCCGUAAACGUUGGGCACUAGGUGUGGGGGACAUUCCACGUUUUCCGCGCCGUAGCUAACGCAUUAAGUGCCCCGCCUGGGGAGUACGGCCGCAAGGCUAAAACUCAAAGGAAUUGACGGGGGCCCGCACAAGCGGCGGAGCAUGCGGAUUAAUUCGAUGCAACGCGAAGAACCUUACCAAGGCUUGACAUAUACCGGAUCGUUCCAGAGAUGGUUCUUCCCCUUUGGGGUCGGUAUACAGGUGGUGCAUGGUUGUCGUCAGCUCGUGUCGUGAGAUGUUGGGUUAAGUCCCGCAACGAGCGCAACCCUCGUUCCAUGUUGCCAGCACGUGAUGGUGGGGACUCAUGGGAGACUGCCGGGGUCAACUCGGAGGAAGGUGGGGAUGACGUCAAAUCAUCAUGCCCCUUAUGUCUUGGGCUUCACGCAUGCUACAACGGCCGGUACAAAGGGUUGCGAUACUGUGAGGUGG
rnacentral:rRNA from 1 species